AGCGAACGCUGGCGGCAUGCCUAACACAUGCAAGUCGCACGGGGGGGCUUCGGCCUCCCAGUGGCGGACGGGUGAGGAACGCGUAGGGACCUGUCGAGGGGUGGGGGAUAACCGCGGGAAACUGCGGCUAAUACCGCAUGACGCCGCGGCGUGACAGCCGGGGCCAAAGGCGAAAGCCGCCCGCCGAGGGGCCUGCGUCCGAUUAGCUGGUUGGCGGGGUAGCGGCCCACCAAGGCGUCGAUCGGUAGCUGGUCUGAGAGGGUGAUCAGCCACACCGGGACUGAGACACGGCCCGGACUCCUACGGGAGGCAGCAGUGGGGGAUAUUGGACAAUGGGCGCAAGCAUGAUCCAGCAAUGCCGCGUGGGUGAAGAAGGUCUUCGGAUUGUAAAGCCCUUUCGGCGGGGACGAUGGUGACGGUACCCGCAGAAGAAGCCCCGGCUAACUUCGUG
rnacentral:rRNA from 1 species